rnacentral:rRNA from 1 species
UACGAGUGCCCCGAGCGUUAUCCGGAAUUAUUGGGCGUAAAGGGUGUGUAGGUGGUCAUAUUAGUCUUUUGUUAAAUUCUUCGGCUUAACCGGGGGCAUGCAAAGGAAACGGUAUGACUUGAGGAUGCGAGAGGUACAUGGAACUCAUGGAGUAGGGUGAAAUCCGUUGAUAUCAUGGGGAACACCAAAGCGAAGGCAAUGUACUGGCGCACUCCUGACACUGAAACACGAAAGCGUAGGUAGCGAAAUGGG